rnacentral:tRNA from 1 species
AAAAUCCGUCGACUUUAUAAUCGUGAGGGUUCAAGUCCCUCUAUCCCCA